rnacentral:rRNA from 1 species
UGGGGAAUAUUGGACAAUGGGCGAAAGCCUGAUCCAGCCAUGCCGCGUGUGUGAAGAAGGUCUUCGGAUUGUAAAGCACUUUAAGUUGGGAGGAAGGGCAGUAAGCGAAUACCUUGCUGUUUUGACGUUACCGACAGAAUAAGCACCGGCUAACUCUGUGCCAGCAGCCGCGGUAAUACAGAGGGUGCAAGCGUUAAUCGGAAUUACUGGGCGUAAAGCGUGCGUAGGCGGCUAAUUGAGUCGGAUGUGAAAUCCCCGAGCUUAACUUGGGAAUUGCAUUCGAUACUGGUUAGCUAGAGAGUGGGAGAGGAUGGUAGAAUUCCAGGUGUAGCGGUGAAAUGCGUAGAGAUCUGGAGGAAUACCGAUGGCGAAGGCAGCCAUCUGGCCUAACACUGACGCUGAGGUACGAAAGCAUGGGGAGCAAACAGG